GUCUCAGUUCGGAUUGCAGGCUGCAACUCGCCUGCAUGAAGCUGGAAUUGCUAGUAAUCGCGGAUCAGCAUGCCGCGGUGAAUACUUCCCGGGCCUUGUACACACCGCCCGUCACACCAUGAGAGUCGGGAACACCCGAAGUCCGUAGUCUAACCGCAAGGAGGGCGCGGCCGAAGGUGGGUCCGGUAAUUGGGGUGAAGUCGUAACAAGGUAAC
rnacentral:rRNA from 1 species